UGGAAAAGACGGCAAGGUUGACUAUAGCGUUGCUUCUUUGGUCAAUAUCGUGAAAUUUACAGCCUGCUUCCGGCGAUGAUUUAGGAUCAAAGUUACACACUUAUAUACUAGAUUAAUGGAAAUAAGUAACGCGCACUCAAACUUCAACGUAAUAGUGUGAAAAUGAAAUAAUUUGGAUACAAGGUGAGGCAUAAAAAUGUUAAAAAUUCAUGUAAUUUUUCUAAAAUAUUUUGAGUUUGAAAUGCUAUUGUAUUACACUAAAAUUCGUUUUAUUUUGUGUCGUGCAACUGUGAAUUAACGUCAUUCAAAUCUGGUUAGUAUAAAAGCAAAUCAACUUAAUUUUUGUUGAACAGGUAUUAGGACAUAUUUAUUUAUUCAGUAUUCUAGAAUUUCCCAGUAAUGUAAGUCCAUUGUACCACUUAUAAUUAAUACAUGUAUUUUGUAGAGAAGUUGACGAUACUGUAUAUUAUGUUGUCUAGGUUUUCAAAAUCAGAAACGAAGCAAGAAGAACUUUUCUGAGGCUUAAGUGUUGGAGUUCAGUUGUGAUUGUCAUGCCCUAGGAUAUGCUAAUGGAUUGAUGGAGAAGAACGUCUGGAUUCAGAUACAGAAAGUUUCAUGGCAGACAUGUACUCAUUUAAAGCAAGUGAAAACCUUGAAAAGUACGAACAACUAAACCAAGAAUUAGGAUACACAUCAUGGGAUAUUGACGUCAGUGGAAACAAAAUGUUUGUACUAGUUGAUCGCAGGAAUAUUAAUGACAAAGUUAAAAGACAUUCAGUGAUAGGGAUGAAGUGGAGGCCUUAUCGAUAAACAAAGAGUCCCCAGUUCAGGAAAUGGUACAGCGCUGAGAGUAUUUUGAAAGUUAAGAAAGGUGAAAUGUAUAAAAAGAGAUUUCAUGAAGAUGGUUCCUAGUAAGUCCGGAAUAUGGCUCGUAUUCGAAGAAUAAUUGUGAUUGUUUGUAAAAGCAGUUUACAUGAAAUAUAGUUUGAGCUUUUAAUCAAAAUGUUGUUCUUUCAUUAUAUUCAACGGAUGUUUUUUUGUAGUGCAAGUUAGCAUAACCUUAAAAAGAUGCAGGUAAACCUGUGUUAAAGACCACCUCUGAACAGAGGCCACCUGACUCUAAAGACCACAUGUUUUGUUUCCAGUUUUAACAUUUAUUUAGCCUGUGACUACCUCCAAAUAAAGACCACAUUUUGGCUCUACCUAAUCUUGUCUUUAUAGACAGGUUUGAAAGUAUAUGUAAAAGUACACUCGAAGUUUUAUCUAGCAUAAGUGCAGUGACUGACCCAUAAAUUUUGGUCUGUCCGUUUGUCUCUCUGUAUGUCACAAAGUUUAAAUGUGCAUAUCAUGUGAAACAGCAAUGCGGAUUCACACCAGUUCAUUGUUUUGUGAUCAGAGUUUUAUAAUACUUUAUAUUCUAAUGGGCCCGCUUUUACCAAACUUUACAUGACUGGCCAGUGCCUAUAAUUUUCAUUGGAGUUAUGGCCCUUAAUUUGUCAUAUCUUACCCCGUAUUGGCAAGCUCAUUUUAAGCGAUAUCUAUAUACUAGCACGUGUUUAUACCAAGCUGCGAAAUCUCUAUAUUCAUGUAGUUAUCAUGUACAUUUUUUCGCUGAUGAAGUAAAUGUAAUAAAUAUACACUUUUAUUUAAUAAUAAUAUAUAUUUAUCCACAAUUCAAGUGUAGACCUGUACCAUUGAAAAGCAUUACUGAGCAGACAUAUUUCAUCCAUUUACUUUCAUAAUCUACUAAAACAGAUGUUAUAAGCAAUGUAAUUGUACCCUGGCAGUGCAGUGGAUAUAAUAUCAUAAUAAGAGUAUGGUUACAAUACAUUCCAGAACUCGAAAACUAUUCGGUGUGAUAUAACUGUUGAAAAGCAGAGUGGGGCACGCGAAGUCUUACUCCACCAAAGAAGGCUGAAAAAUCGCCAUAUGAACUUAAUUUCUGCGAUGUGACCAAACAAAGAAUUAACUGGAAAAAAAAAAGAAAUUAAAUGGCGAUUUUAUCGCAAGAAAGUAAACAGUUAAUAACUCCAAAUAUUCCCUAUCAGUUAAUUUUCUUUCAAGGAUGACGUGAACUAACGUGUUUUAUUUAUUAUUAUUUUUUUUUUUUUGCAGCGUUUCAGCGGAAUUACGCUAUUCUCAAACUUGAAAAUAAUUUCCUCAUUCAAAAUGUUAUACUUGUCCGAUCCGCUUUUCAUGUGUUGGAGUAAGCGAAUUAUUUUAACAUACAAUUAUUCCCUAACUAGCAAACGUGUGCUAUUUACACUUUAUUCCAAGGGUUUAUAUCCUAUUCGCUCUUAGCGAAAUUUCGUUAAGAGGAGGACGUUGCACUGCAAAUAUACUCUUUCCUCAGAAUGCCUUAGCGAAAUUACGCUAUCUAUAGAUUGGAUGAACAAUAAACUUUAUAGUAUUGUUUGCGAGGAACAUUGUAUAAACGUUGAUGAUUAUUCUUGUCUAAGAAGAAAGUAACGAAUUCCUUCGAUACGUACAUACAUUAGAACUCUAAACGAAGUAGCAACAGUCUCGAUUUUAAUGGUUAAGUUCUGCAUUUUUAUGGCAAAUUGAUAAUACCGCUUAACGAUGUUGUAAAAGUAAAGAAAACAUUAUUCCAAAAUGUCAGGAUAAAACGAUUUGUAUACCAAAUUGGCAUGUUUUUGACAUAACUUGACAGUUUGGAAACUGUCAACUGCAAAUGGAA